ACGUAUUCCUGUUCUCGGUUUAAGAAGAACACAUGGUUGCAAAUAGUCUAGACCUUAGGUACUUAUGGAGCUUGCACAAGGAGGAGCAGGUCGUUGUGGGCAUGGAUCGUGAAUGCUUAAUAAAACACAUAUGACAUUUCAUGCAUUAUUAUUUUAUGUUGGGUUUACUUACAUGCUUCCGCUACUUAAACAAAGUUUGGUUUUGAACAUCAAUCAUGUCGUGAUGAAUUACAUUAUCUACUUUUAUUAUUAAAUGCUAUGUUCGAUA